UUGUGAUGAAACCAAACUCAAUUUGCUGGAAUUACCGUCAGAUUGAUCAGUGUUGAGUAAUGGUUUUCUGAAU